GUCGGCGACCGUAUCACGUUGAAAGCACCGGUUCUCGUCCGAUCACCGAAGUUAAUGUGCGUCGGUGGCAGAGCGGUUAGGACGCUCGCCGACC
rnacentral:rRNA from 1 species